GACGAACGCUGGCGGCGUGCUUAACACAUGCAAGUCGAACGGUGAAGCUCCAGCUUGCUGGAGUGGAUCAGUGGCGAACGGGUGAGUAACACGUGAGCAACCUGCCCCUGACUCUGGAAUAAGCGCUGGAAACGGCGUCUAAUACUGGAUACGAGAAGGGUCCGCAUGGGCACUUUCUGGAAAGUUUUUCGGUUGGGGAUGGGCUCGCGGCCUAUCAGCUUGUUGGUGAGGUAAUGGCUCACCAAGGCGACGACGGGUAGCCGGCCUGAGAGGGCGACCGGCCACACUGGGACUGAGACACGGCCCAGACUCCUACGGGAGGCAGCAGUGGGGAAUAUUGCACAAUGGGCGAAAGCCUGAUGCAGCGACGCCGCGUGAGGGAUGACGGCCUUCGGGUUGUAAACCUCUUUCAGUAGGGAAGAAGCGAAAGUGACGGUACCUGCAGAAGAAGCACCGGCUAACUACGUG
rnacentral:rRNA from 1 species